GGCUUUUAUUGUCGGUCGAGGUCGAUAGUCGAUGUCGAACUCCGUGAGCUCGACUGCCCACUUCACCAUCCUUUCAGAAGCAUCCGCUCGAUGCAAAACCAUCUUGAUCGGCUGGUCGGUGAGCAGUAUUAUGGUGUGUCCCUGAAAGUAAGGUCAGAGCCUCCGAGCUGCAUUCAACAAGACGUAAGUUAGCUUCUCUAACUUAGUAUACCUGAUUUUGGCGUCUCUCAAU
rnacentral:lncRNA from 1 species